rnacentral:sRNA from 1 species
GGGAGUGGUUUGAUGUGAAGGUUUUUUUUUCCUUCAGGCAUUGAAAAGAAAAAAGAUGAAAUAUAUGUUUAUAUAUAACUCUCUACAUACCUCACUGAAGUCAAAAUGCAUUUAAUUGUGUACGUAUCUUUUAAAUGAGGAACGGUACUGGAUUUUUUUCUUCUUUCUUAAAAAAAGUGACAGAAAUCCUAGUGACUUUGGGGGGGAGAGAUAUGAAUAGAUACGAUGAUUGAGUUUUUUUUCAAAGGAGUCCAUGUUUGAUUCUCUCCUUCACCCAGCAUUCUCAGUGGUUUGUAAUUGUCAGUUUUAUCUCUACUUUUUCCCUUCCUCUCCUGCAGUUGCUUGCUUGUAAAAUCAUCUGACUUGAGAAAUUAAUUUGGUGGUGAAUAGGACAGAUUUUUAGAAGAAAGAGGAGAGGGUCAGAUCUGAAGAUUGUGAAAUUCUUUUCUCCUGUUGCAGCGAACACCUCUUCCUCCAUGACCUUCGACACUGAUAAAAGUGGAAGAAACUGAGGCACGGGGAGAGAAAGGCAGCUGAGAAGAGAGGAAUGAGAAAUGCUCACCCUCCCCUAGUCAACCCCGUGAUGUUACCUGGAUGACAGCACACACUCCUUGGUCUCUUCACUGAAACCUAUGUCACGGAAAGACAUGGCCACACCUGGGGGAGUGACCUGCCGUGAGGAUGUAGGUGGACGUCAUGAAUGACAUACAAGCUGUACUUACCGGCAUGUGGAGCAGGGAAUCUGACACCUGGAUAGCUCCCUCUAGCCUCUGAGGGCACUGAACACGUGACUGAGCCAACACAGGGCUGUUGGAAUUGAACCUUGUCCUCUGGAAGAGCAGCCAGACCUCUUAACUGCUGAGCCAUCUCUCCAGCCCCAUGGCCAGAAGACUGCCUCAAGUCCCCCGGAACUAGCGUUAUGGAUGGUUGUGAACUACCAUGCAGGUCCUAGGAAUUGAACCCUGGUCUUCUGCGAGAGCAACAAGUGCCCUGAACUCGGAACCAUCUCUUCAUCCUAAUAAUGUUCGUUCCUGAAAUAAACAUUCAUUUGUUAAAA